AUACCUGAGGCAGGCGAGAGGAAGGUGGGCGCUUGCGAGGCCGCGAGGUCCUGCCAAGACACUGGGUGGGUCUGGAAGGAAGAGCUUACCUGUGCUUGAAUCGCACCAUGGCUGCCUCCGCGCCCUCCGGCCCGAGGUGCCAACCGGAUGUGGGUUCCGCCCGCUGCCAAUGGGAAGCUUGCUUCCUCAGCCUUUCAGCCAUUCAGAGAAGGAGGCAGGACAUGAGGGCGGAGCUAGAAAGUUGAGAAGCCGAGCUCUGUCAGUCUCCCUCAAGACCCGCCUCGUCUCUGAAAGCGCGCAUGCGUACUGCGGAGGACCCGGACUAGUUUGAGGGCUGAACUCCAGGUAUGAAUCGUCUUGCAGCUGUGGUGGUUGGUUCUGCUGCACUCCGGAGUUUACAGUAGCGUGUACUGUAUUGUAAAUAUAGGAUGCAGCCGCUUUUCUUGGGGCCCUGGAAACCUUGCAGCACAGUUAUGUAUGCGAGUAUAUUUUCUCUCCAAGGUGAACGGUGGAGCUUUUGAGGGCAAGACCCUGCACCUCAACAGCCCAGGGACUGACAAACGGGAAAUCGGACCCUUAUUUUCAGGAUUUCUUUUGCUUUGGCCUCUGGAACUAUACAGCAGACAGUAGUCUUCGUUUCUCCAGAUGCCAAAGGAUAUGACGGUGUAUCUGGCUUUGGAAAACACAGGGUCUGCGCUGUGAGCCGCUCCGAUGCUUCAGCUGCUUGGAAUGAGCCCCAUGAGGCCGGGCACAGUGGCU